ACGGCGUCGGCUUCGCUUGGAAAAUGCGGAAUUCCCGCUUCGCCGAACACGGCGGAGGCGGCUCCAUUGUCGCCGACCCAGGCUGCGAAUACCGGCUUUCGGGGGGAAGUCUCCGCGGGGGAUUUUUUUUCUGCGGGCGCCCCCGNNNAAUCAAGCGGUGACGCCAGCGUGUUGGGCGAAUUCAUGAUCAGGACCGCAUUGUUCGCGGUGUCGCCCAGCACGAGUUCGCAGGCCUUCGCAUAGCGUUCGCCGUCC
rnacentral:misc_RNA from 1 species